rnacentral:lncRNA from 1 species
GGCUAGCCACCUCAGCACCUCAGCUGCAGGAAGACCUUCCUGGUUCACCUGUGCACAGUGUAAGGUGAGAACCUUCUAGGAGGGGACUUUUCCUAUUGACCUCACUAAAAUAGCUGGAUGCUGUGUGGGCCAGGAUUUCCCAGGAGCCCCUCAAGAGAUCUGGAAGCAGCUGGCAGGUGCUGAGAAGGCAGAAGGAGACAUAGUCCCGUGGCCCUGCAAUUAUUUGUGAUAGGAGAAGAAUCUGGAAGAUUAUGAAACAGGCUGCCGUAUGUGGUGGACUGCCAGCCAGGCAAAUUGCCAGUUGCCCUCAUAGCCGCCGGCUACUUUGAACUCUCCUGGACGCCUUGAGGAACUGAACUGUGAUCAGCUGCUGGCUUCAGAAGCACGAUGCUGGUUCCGGAGCCAUAUCCCACCCACACAGUGGUUUCAAACAGCUUGCCCACCACAAGCCUCUCUGAACUCUAGAUGACCCUGUAACCAUUUUCACUCACACCAGAGAGGAGCCUUCUCUUGUUGGACUGAGAAUGAAGGACUGUGUGGGGCUAGUGUCAACGCAGCUCAUUUGCAUGAAGCGUUGCUUCUGAUUGGUGCUGGCAGCCUUGCCACGCCCCCUUUCUGGAUAUUUCUGGAAGUCUGACUUACAGCUCCUUUCUUGAGUCAGCGAGCUGCAGUGAUGCCCUUGUUACUGAGGCAAGCGAGAUGCUAGUCCAGACCUGCAAGAGAGACUAAAGCAGAAGUGGAGAGCCGAGGAGCUCUGAAGCCUCAAGAAGCCGGGCCCCAGCCUGAAAGCUCUUGACAGGAACAGGAUUACCACGGCUUCCCAUGGCAGGGCUGAGGCACAUUAAAGCCCAGGGCAACAGAGCCUUCAACUUGGGCACCUGGAGCCCCGAGUCUUUGGCUUCUAUACCUCCCCAACUUGCUUUGUAACUCAAACUGGCUUCAAACUUGCCACCCCCACCUGCCUCCGUCUCCCAGGGAGCUCUCACCUUCCCAGGAAUCUUAUCUGUGAGGCACUGACUGAGUUUGGCUCCCACUGCCUGGCACACGCGAUUUAGGGGCAUCCCUGAAGAGUGUGGGGCUAAAGGUACAACUUCUAUAGCAGUGGGUUGUGAGGAGGGACAACUGGAACCAGAGAAGCCAGGAGCUUCCACACAAGCUGGAGGGAUGGGGAUGGGAACUCACAGGCAAAGGAAUCCUGAACAGAAGCAGAGUCUAAUGUACAACCAUGAGCUGCUCCAAAAAGAGCCAAGACCAUGCUGGGGCCACAGGGAGGAGGAUCAAAUGAGCUUUCUGUAUAUUGCAUUGGUUAAUGGAGUCAAAGGCACAGGCAGGGAGAUCUGUUGUGAACUUCACGGGUGUGAAAGGGGAGUUGGACUCAGGACCCAGGUGUUAGCAGGUAGGUCCUGUUUGAAUUGAGGCUACGCAGGGUGGAGCUUCUUGUGUGGAACCCUUCCUAAAGCCGCGGGUGCGCAACGUCCAGCAUGUGCCUCAACUUUACCCUUUCACUAAGGAAGAGAUGAGGGGCUGAAGCAAUUAACAGCAUUUGUUGCUCUUUCUCAGGACCAGUGUUCAGUUCCCAGCAACCACACGAUAGCUCACAACCACCUGCAACUCCAGCCCCACAGGAUCAAACACCCUCCAGCCUAUGCCUAUACACACACACACAGACACACACACACGUACACACACACACACGCACGUACACACAUACACACAUACACACAAGUACACAUAGACUAAAAAUAGCAUCUAAAAAGAGAUAGGGAUGGUCCUGCUCCGGGAAGACCCAAAGAAACCCAGAGCACAGUCAGAGUGCCAGCACAGGUUGAAGGAGAGGUGUGAGGAGAAGGGGAGGUUGUGAGAAGUGCAAUGGCUAUAGGAGGCAGGAGAGGAGAGAGAGCAUGUCCUGUGAGUGCAUUGGGAGGGAUAGGAGGGAGGCUAUUUGGCCCUUCCCCAGCACAGGUGGAGGAAGGAAGUAUGGAUAGCUGGGACAGAGUGGAGAUCAGUGCCAAUGACUCAAAAUGCAGGCCCAAAACAAAGUUUGUUAGCUCCCCACGGUGUGAUCACUACUGAAGCCAUGUCACUUUGACAGAAGAAGGAGGACCACCCGGGGCACCCCACAGCAAGGCGUGGUUGGAAUAGCCUUCAUCAGGGCUCCCAUUGGCCACUCUUGCCAAUGGUUAACAGAGUAGCUCUGACUCACUGGGGAUGAUGGUGUUCCUCCCAGCCUAACAGAUCCCUAAGCUGGGCCCUUUUCCCUUUUUCUUUCCCCUCCUGGCCAUCCUGACUCAAUGGGAAGUCUGGGUGCGUGGCUGAAGAUCCCAACACUACAUUGCGAGCUGAGGAUGUCCCAUGCAGUUGCCAAAGUAGAGUGGGCUGGGUCUCUUUCCCAGACCCUAUGUUAGAAAUGUGCUUUAUUCGUUUAUUUUUGCUUUUACUUAUUAUAUGUAUAUGGGGCCGGGUAACACACAUGACAUUGUGCAUAUAUGGAGGUUGGAGAACACUUUGUGAGAGUCAGUUCUCAACUACCAGGUGAGUUCCAGGGAUUGGUGGCAGUCAGGCUUGGUAGCAAGCACUCUUACCUGCUGAGCCAUCUCAGCAGCCCUCAAAGAUAUUUUCAGUGUGACUUUGCUGUCAUUAAGGGUUUCAUGUAGAAUCGAUGUGCUGUCAUUAAGGGUUUCAUGUAGAAUCCAUGUGCUGUCAUUAAGGGUUGCGUGUAGAAUCCACCACCUUUACUCUUUCUGAAAUAAUCAACUUCCCUGGAGGCCACCACUCAAAGUUUUUACUGUCCC